rnacentral:rRNA from 1 species
GACGAACGCUGGCGGCGUGCUUAACACAUGCAAGUCGAACGGUAAGGCUCCAGCUUGCUGGGGUACACGAGUGGCGAACGGGUGAGUAACACGUGGGUGACCUGCCCUGCACUUCGGGAUAAGCCUGGGAAACUGGGUCUAAUACCGGAUAGGACCGCACCGUGAGGGUGUGGUGGAAAGUUUUUUCGGUGUGGGAUGGGCCCGCGGCCUAUCAGCUUGUUGGUGGGGUAAUGGCCUACCAAGGCGGCGACGGGUAGCCGGCCUGAGAGGGUGGACGGCCACAUUGGGACUGAGACACGGCCCAGACUCCUACGGGAGGCAGCAGUGGGGAAUAUUGCACAAUGGGCGGAAGCCUGAUGCAGCGACGCCGCGUGGGGGAUGACGGCCUUCGGGUUGUAAACUCCUUUCACCAUCGACGAAGGGUUUCUGACGGUAGAUGGAGAAGAAGCACCGGCUAACUACGUGCCAGCAGCCGCGGUAAUACGUAGGGUGCGAGCGUUGUCCGGAAUUACUGGGCGUAAAGAGCUCGUAGGUGGUUUGUCGCGUCGUCUGUGAAAUUCCGGGGCUUAACUCCGGGCGUGCAGGCGAUACGGGCAUAACUUGAGUACUGUAGGGGAGACUGGAAUUCCUGGUGUAGCGGUGAAAUGCGCAGAUAUCAGGAGGAACACCGGUGGCGAAGGCGGGUCUCUGGGCAGUAACUGACGCUGAGGAGCGAAAGCAUGGGGAGCGAACAGGAUUAGAUACCCUGGUAGUCCAUGCCGUAAACGGUGGGCGCUAGGUGUGGGUUUCCAUCCACGGGAUCCGUGCCGUAGCUAACGCAUUAAGCGCCCCGCCUGGGGAGUACGGCCGCAAGGCUAAAACUCAAAGGAAUUGACGGGGGCCCGCACAAGCGGCGGAGCAUGUGGAUUAAUUCGAUGCAACGCGAAGAACCUUACCUGGGCUUGACAUAUACAGGAUCGCGCCAGAGAUGGUGUUUCCCUUGUGGCUUGUAUACAGGUGGUGCAUGGUUGUCGUCAGCUCGUGUCGUGAGAUGUUGGGUUAAGUCCCGCAACGAGCGCAACCCUUGUCUUAUGUUGCCAGCACGUUGUGGUGGGGACUCGUAAGAAACUGCCGGGGUUAACUCGGAGGAAGGUGGGGAUGACGUCAAAUCAUCAUGCCCCUUAUGUCCAGGGCUUCACACAUGCUACAAUGGUCGGUACAGUGGGUUGCCAGUCCGUGAGGGCGAGCUAAUCCCGCAAAGCCGGUCUCAGUUCGGAUCGGGGUCUGCAACUCGACCCCGUGAAGUCGGAGUCGCUAGUAAUCGCAGAUCAGCAACGCUGCGGUGAAUACGUUCCCGGGCCU